AUCAACGCUGGCGGCGUGCCUAACACAUGCAAGUCGCACGAGAAAGGGGCUUCGGCUCCGAGUAAAGUGGCGCACGGGUGAGUAACACGUGAAUGAUCUACCUCCGAGUGGGGAAUAACUGAGAGAAAUCUUAGCUAAUACCGCAUAACACUUACGAGUCAAAGCAGCAAUGCGCUUGGAGAGGAGUUCGCGGCCGAUUAGUUAGUUGGCGGGGUAAUGGCCCACCAAGACGAUGAUCGGUAUCCG
rnacentral:rRNA from 2 species